rnacentral:rRNA from 1 species
CCUACGGGAGGCAGCAGUAGGGAAUCUUCCGCAAUGGACGAAAGUCUGACGGAGCAACGCCGCGUGAACGAUGAAGGCCUUCGGGUCGUAAAGUUCUGUUGUUAGGGAAGAACAAGUGUUAGUUGAAUAAGCUGGCACCUUGACGGUACCUAACCAGAAAGCCACGGCUAACUACGUGCCAGCAGCCGCGGUAAUACGUAGGUGGCAAGCGUUGUCCGGAAUUAUUGGGCGUAAAGCGCGCGCAGGCGGUUUCUUAAGUCUGAUGUGAAAGCCCCCGGCUCAACCGGGGAGGGUCAUUGGAAACUGGGAAACUUGAGUGCAGAAGAGGAAAGUGGAAUUCCAAGUGUAGCGGUGAAAUGCGUAGAGAUUUGGAGGAACACCAGUGGCGAAGGCGACUUUCUGGUCUGUAACUGACGCUGAGGCGCGAAAGCGUGGGGAGCAAACAGGAUUAGAUACCCUGGUAGUCCACGCUGUAAACGAUGAGUGCUAAGUGUUAGAGGGUUUCCGCCCUUUAGUGCUGAAGUUAACGCAUUAAGCACUCCGCCUGGGGAGUACGGUCGCAAGACUGAAACUCAAAUGAAUUGACCGG